rnacentral:tRNA from 1 species
GGCGGAUAGCUCAGUUGGGAGAGCGCAGCCCUUACAAGGCUGAGGUCAGCGGUUCGAUCCCGCUUCCGCC